rnacentral:tRNA from 1 species
UUGGGAUAGCUCAGUUGGUA